rnacentral:rRNA from 1 species
AACGAACGCUGGCGGCGUGGAUUAGGCAUGCAAGUCGAACGGUAUCAUCCUUUCGGGGGUGAGAGAGUGGCGAACUGGUGAGUAACACGUAGGUUAUCUACCCUCAAGACGGGGACAACCCAGGGAAACUUGGGCUAAUACCGGAUGUGAGCAACUUUUAGUUGUUUGAAAGGUGGCGUAAGCUGUCGCUUGGGGAUGAGCCUGCGUCCUAUUAGUUAGUUGGUGAGGUAACGGCUCACCUAGGCAAUGAUAGGUAGGCGGCCUUAACGGGUGGUCGCCCACACUGGGAUUGAGAUACGGCCCAGACUCCUACGGGAGGCAGCAGUCGAGAAUAGUCUACAAUGGUCGGAAGACUGAUAGUGCGACGCCGCGUGAACGAUGAAUCCCUUCGGGUGUAAAGUUCUUUUAUAUGUGAGCAGUGCUUCUUAUAUUAACAGUAUGGGGAGAGAGAUAUUAGCAUAUGAAUAAGCAACGGCUAACUCCGUGCCAGCAGCCGCGGUAAACUCGU